AAGUCGUAACAAGGUUUCCGUAGGUGAACCUGCGGAAGGAUCAUUAACACGUACGAAAGUACACACCAACACUGAGCACCUUUUUGGUACAACCUCUCCCUUUCGAUGUGGGCUGUUAGUAUGAAUGCUGCUAUAGGACAUUCAUCUAGCAGGCUCGUGUCUUUACACGAACCCACUCUGAAGGUUACCUUUCCUUAGCACAUUUUACCAUUACCCACUCUGAAGGUUACCUUUCCUUAGCACAUUUUACCAUUAUCACCUAUAAUUACAUUUGUCUAAUGUAGCGGCACAGAGAAAUCCGUGCAGCUUGAUUAUCUAAACUAAGCACAACUCUUAGCAAUGGAUAUCUAGGUUCUC
rnacentral:misc_RNA from 1 species